rnacentral:rRNA from 1 species
CACUAUCGUUAACUGAAUACAUAGGUUAACGAGGCGAACCGGGGGAACUGAAACAUCUAAGUACCCCGAGGAAAAGAAAUCAACCGAGAUUCCCCCAGUAGCGGCGAGCGAACGGGGAGCAGCCCAGAGUCUGAAUCAGCUUGUGUGUUAGUGGAACGGUCUGGAAAGUCCGACGGUACAGGGUGAUAGUCCCGUACACCAAAAUGCACAGGCUGUGAACUCGAAGAGUAGGGCGGGACACGUGGUAUCCUGUCUGAAUAUGGGGGGACCAUCCUCCAAGGCUAAAUACUCCUGACUGACCGAUAGUGAACCAGUACCGUGAGGGAAAGGCGAAAAGAACCCCGGCGAGGGGAGUGAAAAAGAACCUGAAACCGUGUACGUACAAGCAGUGGGAGCACCUUCGGGUGUGACUGCGUACCUUUUGUAUAAUGGGUCAGCGACUUAUAUUCUGUAGCAAGGUUAACCGUAUAGGGGAGCCGCAGGGAAACCGAGUCUUAACUGGGCGUUAAGUUGCAGGGUAUAGACCCGAAACCCGGUGAUCUAGCCAUGGGCAGGUUGAAGGUUGGGUAACACUAACUGGAGGACCGAACCGACUAAUGUUGAAAAAUUAGCGGAUGACUUGUGGCUGGGGGUGAAAGGCCAAUCAAACCGGGAGAUAGCUGGUUCUCCCCGAAAGCUAUUUAGGUAGCGCCUCGUGAACUCAUCUUCGGGGGUAGAGCACUGUUUCGGCUAGGGGGUCAUCCCGACUUACCAACCCGAUGCAAACUACGAAUACCGAAGAAUGUUAUCACGGGAGACACACGGCGGGUGCUAACGUCCGUCGUGAAGAGGGAAACAACCCAGACCGCCAGCUAAGGUCCCAAAGUCAUGGUUAAGUGGGAAACGAUGUGGGAAGGCACAGACAGCCAGGAUGUUGGCUUAGAAGCAGCCAUCAUUUAAAGAAAGCGUAAUAGCUCACUGGUCGAGUCGGCCUGCGCGGAAGAUGUAACGGGGCUAAACCAUGCACCGAAGCUGCGGCAGCGACACUAUGUGUUGUUGGGUAGGGGAGCGUUCUGUAAGCCUGCGAAGGUGACCUGUGAGGGUUGCUGGAGGUAUCAGAAGUGCGAAUGCUGACAUAAGUAACGAUAAAGCGGGUGAAAAGCCCGCUCGCCGGAAGACCAAGGGUUCCUGUCCAACGUUAAUCGGGGCAGGGUGAGUCGACCCCUAAGGCGAGGCCGAAAGGCGUAGUCGAUGGGAAACAGGUUAAUAUUCCUGUACUUGGUGUUACUGCGAAGGGGGGACGGAGAAGGCUAUGUUAGCCGGGCGACGGUUGUCCCGGUUUAAGCAUGUAGGCUGGUUGUCCAGGCAAAUCCGGAUAAUCAAGGCUGAGGUGUGAUGACGAGGCACUACGGUGCUGAAGUAACAAAUGCCCUGCUUCCAGGAAAAGCCUCUAAGCAUCAGGUAACAUCAAAUCGUACCCCAAACCGACACAGGUGGUCAGGUAGAGAAUACCAAGGCGCUUGAGAGAACUCGGGUGAAGGAACUAGGCAAAAUGGUGCCGUAACUUCGGGAGAAGGCACGCUGGUGUGUAGGUGAAGUCCCUGCGGAUGGAGCUGAGACCAGUCGAAGAUACCAGCUGGCUGCAACUGUUUAUUAAAAACACAGCACUGUGCAAACACGAAAGUGGACGUAUACGGUGUGACGCCUGCCCGGUGCCGGAAGGUUAAUUGAUGGGGUUAUCCGUAAGGAGAAGCUCUUGAUCGAAGCCCCGGUAAACGGCGGCCGUAACUAUAACGGUCCUAAGGUAGCGAAAUUCCUUGUCGGGUAAGUUCCGACCUGCACGAAUGGCGUAAUGAUGGCCAGGCUGUCUCCACCCGAGACUCAGUGAAAUUGAACUCGCUGUGAAGAUGCAGUGUACCCGCGGCAAGACGGAAAGACCCCGUGAACCUUUACUAUAGCUUGACACUGAACAUUGAGCCUUGAUGUGUAGGAUAGGUGGGAGGCUUUGAAGCGUGGACGCCAGUCUGCGUGGAGCCAACCUUGAAAUACCACCCUUUAAUGUUUGAUGUUCUAACGUUGGCCCCUGACCGGGGUUGCGGACAGUGUCUGGUGGGUAGUUUGACUGGGGCGGUCUCCUCCCAAAGCGUAACGGAGGAGCACGAAGGUUAGCUAAUCCUGGUCGGACAUCAGGAGGUUAGUGCAAUGGCAUAAGCUAGCUUGACUGCGAGCGUGACGGCGCGAGCAGGUGCGAAAGCAGGUCAUAGUGAUCCGGUGGUUCUGAAUGGAAGGGCCAUCGCUCAACGGAUAAAAGGUACUCCGGGGAUAACAGGCUGAUACCGCCCAAGAGUUCAUAUCGACGGCGGUGUUUGGCACCUCGAUGUCGGCUCAUCACAUCCUGGGGCUGAAGUAGGUCCCAAGGGUAUGGCUGUUCGCCAUUUAAAGUGGUACGCGAGCUGGGUUUAGAACGUCGUGAGACAGUUCGGUCCCUAUCUGCCGUGGGCGCUGGAGAAUUGAGGGGGGCUGCUCCUAGUACGAGAGGACCGGAGUGGACGCAUCACUGGUGUUCGGGUUGUCAUGCCAAUGGCACUGCCCGGUAGCUAAAUGCGGAAGAGAUAAGUGCUGAAAGCAUCUAAGCACGAAACUUGCCCCGAGAUGAGUUCUCCCUGAGACUUUAAGUCUCCUGAAGGAACGUUGAAGACGACGACGUUGAUAGGCCGGGUGUGUAAGCGCAGCGAUGCGUUGAGCUAACCGGUACUAAUGAACCGUGAGGCUUAACCUU